AUUGAACGCUGGCGGCAGGCUUAACACAUGCAAGUCGAGCGAGUGGCGGACGGGUGAGUAAUGUCUGGGAAACUGCCUGAUGGAGGGGGAUAACUACUGGAAACGGUAGCUAAUACCGCAUACCCUCAGAUGUGCCCAGAUGGGAUUAGCGAGUUGGUGGGGUAAUGGCUCACCUAGGCGACGAUCCCUAGCUGGUCUGAGAGGAUGACCAGCCACACUGGAACUGAGACACGGUCCAGACUCCGACGGGAGGCAGCAGUGGGGAAUAUUGCACAAUGGGCGCAAGCCUGAUGCAGCCAUGCCGCGUGUGUGAAGAAAGCCUUCGAGUUGUAAAGCACUUUCAGCGAGGAGGCGUUACUCGCAGAAGAAGCACCGGCUAACUCCGUGCCAGCCGCCGCGGUAAUUC
rnacentral:rRNA from 1 species